rnacentral:rRNA from 1 species
GACGAACGCUGGCGGCGUGCUUAACACAUGCAAGUCGAACGGUAAGGCCCUUCGGGGUACACGAGUGGCGAACGGGUGAGUAACACGUGGGUGAUCUGCCCUGCACUUCGGGAUAAGCCUGGGAAACUGGGUCUAAUACCGGAUAGGACCACUGCCUGCAUGGGUGGUGGUGGAAAGCUUUUGCGGUGUGGGAUGGGCCCGCGGCCUAUCAGCUUGUUGGUGGGGUGAUGGCCUACCAAGGCGACGACGGGUAGCCGGCCUGAGAGGGUGACCGGCCAACCUGGGUCUGGGGUGAGGGCCAGACUCCUACGGGAGGCAGCAGUGGGGAAUUUUGCACAAUGGGCGCAAGGCGGAUGCAGCGACGCCGCGUGAGGGAUGACGGCCUUCGGGUUGUAAACCUCUUUCAGCACCGACGAAGCGCAAGUGACGGUAGGUGCAGAAGAAGGACCGGCCAACUACGUGCCAGCCGCCGCCGUAA